rnacentral:rRNA from 1 species
GAUGAACGCUGGCGGCGUGCCUAAUACAUGCAAGUCGAGCGAACAGAUGAGGAGCUUGCUCCUCUGACGUUAGCGGCGGACGGGUGAGUAACACGUGGAUAACCUACCUAUAAGACUGGGAUAACUUCGGGAAACCGGAGCUAAUACCGGAUAAUAUUUUGAACCGCAUGGUUCAAUAGUGAAAGACGGUCUUGCUGUCACUUAUAGAUGGAUCCGCGCUGCAUUAGCUAGUUGGUAAGGUAACGGCUUACCAAGGCAACGAUGCGUAGCCGACCUGAGAGGGUGAUCGGCCACACUGGAACUGAGACACGGUCCAGACUCCUACGGGAGGCAGCAGUAGGGAAUCUUCCGCAAUGGGCGAAAGCCUGACGGAGCAACGCCGCGUGAGUGAUGAAGGUCUUCGGAUCGUAAAACUCUGUUAUUAGGGAAGAACAAAUGUGUAAGUAACUGUGCACGUCUUGACGGUACCUAAUCAGAAAGCCACGGCUAACUACGUG